UCAAGUAACUCAUGCAAGCAGUACAAUUAGAUAGAAAAAAAUUCAAAAAAAUACACCUUAUGGAACAGCGGAGACUGUGAAGCAACAGAAACAUAGGCCCAGACACAUGCAUACAAACCCACAAUAACAUACUCACUAUGCACACUUAGACAUGGAUUUUGUGUUGUGGGUAUGUGGUAGUAGAGUAGUGGCAUGAGGGUACACACUUAAUAUGUUGUGAAAUCUGUUGUAAAUGUAUUGUAAUGUUAAAAAAAUGUUAUAACUGCCUUCAUUUUGCUGGACCAUAGGAAGAGUAGCUGCUGCCAAUAAUAAAUAUAAAAUACAAAUGUAGAGCUACGUUUGCAGAGCAGAGACUGACAGAGCUUUGUUUAUAUAGACUAUAGUUCAGCAGGUCCCGCAUCGCUUGUACGUGGACCGUGCAUUUGUUCAGGUCAUGCCAGCACUGGCAUAGAAUAAAUAGUGGGAAAUUCGUCUUCUCUGAAUUGGCUGAAGGAUACAGGGGAGGAGGCAGAGAGUGAAUGGAUGAGACUGUGCACGAUAAGGAUAUGCGGACCUAGUAGACAGCUUCGCUUUCUGGCCCCAAUGGAUCACUAGCGAAAGAGCAGCGGUUAAUUUUACGUUCUUUAUUCGUUUUGGUGGGCUACAGCCGGAGAGAACGCCGGUGGAAUAAUUUGUUUUUAUCGCUGCCGGUAAAAAACCUUCUGUUCAUACAAAAAGUUCAAUUGGACCAUAACGGCGACAAUAAAAAAAAAAGGACCCCCGCAGAGAUGUUAAGAGCAGCCCUUCAUGUCCUCCAUCUCUUGCAAAUCAUAUUAAAACCCUGCAGCUCCAGGUCAUUUUUUUUCUCUCUAACAGUUCUGCCUUUCAGUGGUGUAAAGUACUUUAAAGUACGACUUAAGUAAAGUACUACUUAAGUCAUAGAUUUUUUUACAACUUUUACUUUUACUCCGCUACAUUCCUAAAGAAAAUAAUGUACUUUUUACUCCAUACAUUUUCCCUGAAACUCAAAAGUAUGCUUUACAUUUUGAAUGCUUAGCAGACAGAUUUUUUUCCAUUCACACACUGAUCUGGCGGACUAAACACAAAUACUUAAUUUGUCAAUUAUGUCAUCAGUGUGUGAAUGGUACAGUAGGGCCAAGGCAAGGCAAGGGCCGCAUGGUGGACUGCCUGCUACUGGAACGAAUUGCAAAAAUCUCUGAAGUUGGAGACUUUUAUCUCCCUCACCAACUUUAAACAUCUGCUAUCUGAGCAGCUAACCGAUCGCUGCAGCUGUACAUAGUCCAUCGGUAUAUAGCCCACCCCAAUUUACCUACCUCAUCCCCAUACUGUUUUUAUUUUAUUUACCGUUCUGCUCUUUUGCACACCAGCAUCUCUACCUGCACAUGUUCAUCUGAUCAUUUAUCACUCCAGUGUUAAUCUGUUA
rnacentral:lncRNA from 13 species